rnacentral:rRNA from 1 species
CGAAGGGGGCUAGCGUUGCUCGGAAUCACUGGGCGUAAAGGGUGCGUAGGCGGGUCUUUAAGUCAGAGGUGAAAUCCAGGAGCUCAACUCCAGAACUGCCUUUGAUACUGAAGAUCUUGAGUUCGGGAGAGGUGAGUGGAACUGCGAGUGUAGAGGUGAAAUUCGUAGAUAUUCGCAAGAACACCAGUGGCGAAGGCGGCUCACUGGCCCGAUACUGACGCUGAGGCACGAAAGCGUGGGGAGCAAACGGGAUUAGAUACCCUGGUAGUCCACGCCGUAAACGAUGAAUGCCAGCCGUUAGUGGGUUUACUCACUAGUGGCGCAGCUAACGCUUUAAGCAUUCCGCCUGGGGAGUACGGUCGCAAGAUUA